GUGCUCACUUUAGCAGCACAUAUACUAAAAUUGGAAUGAUACAGAGAAGAUCAGCAUAGUGUCUACACAAGGAUCACACACAAAUUCAUAAAGUGUUCCAUAGUUAA